rnacentral:rRNA from 1 species
CCUUAUGCAUGCAAGUCGAGCGAAGCUUUUCAGUAGUUUACUACAGAAAAUGACUGAGCGGCGAACGGGUGAGUAACGCGUGAGCAACCUACCUUAGUUACUGGGAUAGCCCGAGGAAACUCGGAUUAAUACCGGAUAUUCUUAUUUAAUCACAUGAUUUUUUAAGGAAAGGUCAGCCGAACUAAGAUGGGCUCGCGUUCUAUCAGCUAGUUGGUAGGGUAAUGGCCUACCAAGGCUACGACGGAUAGCUGGUCUGAGAGGACGAUCAGCCACACUGGGACUGAGACACGGCCCAGACUCCUACGGGAGGCUGCAGCAGGGAAUAUUGCGCAAUGAGCGAAAGCUUGACGCAGCGACACCGCGUGUGGGAUGACGGAUCUAGGUUUGUAAACCACUUUCAGGAGGGAAGAAAAUGACGGUACCUCUACAAGAAGCCCCGGCCAACUACGUGCCAGCAGCCGCGGUAAUACGUAGGGGGCGAGCGUUGUCCGGAUUUAUUGGGCGUAAAGAGCUCGUAGGCGGUUCAACAAGUCGGUCGUGAAAGUUCAGGGCUCAACCCUGAAAUGUCGAUCGAUACUGUUGUGACUAGGAUACGGUAGAGGUGAGUGGAAUUCCGAGUGUAGCGGUGAAAUGCGUAGAUAUUCGGAGGAACACCAAUUGCGAAGGCAGCUCACUGGGCCGCUAUCGACGCUGAGGAGCGAAAGCUAGGGGAGCAAACAGGAUUAGAUACCCUGGUAGUCCUAGCUGUAAACGAUGGAUACUAGACGUAGGAAUUGGUUUAACGAUUUCUGUGUCGUAGCUAACGCGUUAAGUAUCCCGCCUGGGGAGUACGGUCGCAAGACUAGAACUCAAAGGAAUUGACGGGACCCCGCACAAGCGGCGGAGCAUGCGGCUUAAUUCGAUGAUACCCGUAGAACCUUACCUGGACUUGACAUAUAGGGAAAAGUUAUAGAAAUAUAAUGUGCAUUA